rnacentral:rRNA from 1 species
UUUAAAUUUAGAGUUUGAUCCUGGCUCAGGACGAACGCUGGCGGCGUGCUUAACACAUGCAAGUCGAGCGAUGAAGCUUCCUUCGGGAAGUGGAUUAGCGGCGGACGGGUGAGUAACACGUGGGUAACCUGCCUCAAAGUGGGGGAUAGCCUUCCGAAAGGAAGAUUAAUACCGCAUAAUAUAAGAGAAUCGCAUGAUUUUUUUAUCAAAGAUUUAUUGCUUUGAGAUGGACCCGCGGCGCAUUAGCUAGUUGGUAAGGUAACGGCUUACCAAGGCAACGAUGCGUAGCCGACCUGAGAGGGUGAUCGGCCACAUUGGAACUGAGACACGGUCCAGACUCCUACGGGAGGCAGCAGUGGGGAAUAUUGCGCAAUGGGGGAAACCCUGACGCAGCAACGCCGCGUGGGUGAUGAAGGUCUUCGGAUUGUAAAGCCCUGUUUUCUAGGACGAUAAUGACGGUACUAGAGGAGGAAGCCACGGCUAACUACGUGCCAGCAGCCGCGGUAAUACGUAGGUGGCGAGCGUUGUCCGGAUUUACUGGGCGUAAAGGGUGCGUAGGCGGAUGUUUAAGUGGGAUGUGAAAUCCCCGGGCUUAACCUGGGGGCUGCAUUCCAAACUGGAUAUCUAGAGUGCAGGAGAGGAAAGCGGAAUUCCUAGUGUAGCGGUGAAAUGCGUAGAGAUUAGGAAGAACACCAGUGGCGAAGGCGGCUUUCUGGACUGUAACUGACGCUGAGGCACGAAAGCGUGGGUAGCAAACAGGAUUAGAUACCCUGGUAGUCCACGCCGUAAACGAUGGAUACUAGGUGUAGGGGGUAUCAACUCCCCCUGUGCCGCAGUUAACACAAUAAGUAUCCCGCCUGGGGAGUACGGUCGCAAGAUUAAAACUCAAAGGAAUUGACGGGGGCCCGCACAAGCAGCGGAGCAUGUGGUUUAAUUCGAAGCAACGCGAAGAACCUUACCUGGACUUGACAUCCCUUGCAUAGCCUAGAGAUAGGUGAAGCCCUUCGGGGCAAGGAGACAGGUGGUGCAUGGUUGUCGUCAGCUCGUGUCGUGAGAUGUCAGGCUAAGCCCAGCAACGAGCGCAACCCUUGUUAUUAGUUGCUACCAUUAAGUUGAGCACUCUAAUGAGACUGCCUGGGUAACCAGGAGGAAGGUGGGGAUGACGUCAAAUCAUCAUGCCCCUUAUGUCCAGGGCUACACACGUGCUACAAUGGUAGGUACAAUAAGACGCAAGACCGUGAGGUGGAGCAAAACUUAUAAAACCUAUCUCAGUUCGGAUUGUAGGCUGCAACUCGCCUACAUGAAGCUGGAGUUGCUAGUAAUCGCGAAUCAGAAUGUCGCGGUGAAUACGUUCCCGGGCCUUGUACACACCGCCCGUCACACCAUGAGAGCUGGUAACACCCGAAGUCCGUGAGGUAACCGUAAGGAACCAGCGGCCGAAGGUGGGAUUAGUGAUUGGGGUGAAGUCGUAACAAGGUAGCCGUAGGAGAACCUGCGGCUGGAUCACCUCCUUUCUA